UUGACAAUAAGGGUUGAGUAACAUAACUUCAGGAGUGAGGGUAGAGCGGGGUUUCCCCCGCCCUGGUAGUCUUAGUAAGCCGGGAAGCUUAUGACUAAGAGCACCACGAUGAUGAUCCACUUCAUCAUGACCCUUUCCUU
rnacentral:sRNA from 1 species